rnacentral:rRNA from 1 species
GAUCAUGGCUCAGGAUGAACGCUAGCUACAGGCUUAACACAUGCAAGUCGAGGGGAAACGAUAUUGGAAGCUUGCUUCCGAUAGGCGUCGACCGGCGCACGGGUGAGUAACGCGUAUCCAACCUGCCCAUCACUUGGGGAUAACCUUGCGAAAGUAAGACUAAUACCCAAUGAUAUCUCUAGAAGACAUCUGAAGGAGAUUAAAGAUUUAUCGGUGAUGGAUGGGGAUGCGU